rnacentral:rRNA from 1 species
UACGUAGGGUGCAAGCGUUAAUCGGAAUUACUGGGCGUAAAGGGUGCGCAGGUGGUUUAUCAAGCCAGAUGUGAAAUCCCCGGGCUUAACCUGGGAAUGGCAUUUGGGACUGAUAGUCUAGAGUACGGCAGAGGGGGGUAGAAUUCCACGUGUAGCAGUGAAAUGCGUAGAGAUGUGGAGGAAUACCGAUGGCGAAGGCAGCCCCCUGGGUUGAUACUGACACUCAAGCACGAAAGCGUGGGCAGCAAACAGG